AUGACGUAGGGGACGAGGGCGGGAACAGAAGUCAUAGGUCUCUCUGAGGCCGGAAAUCUCGCGAGGUUUGGCCGGUACAUAAGAGCGCCUCCCGCCUUGUGCAGUCUUUUCGUGUGACGGAAGGAGCCGCGCUGGUCGGGUUCAUGGCGGCCGUGCCUGGAUCUGUGGCGGCAGAGCGCGGUAAGUGUCGGCUGUGUCUAUGUGGAUCUCUGCAGGUGGCGUCUACUAGUGAUGAGAACCUUGUCCAGUUCUGCUACUGACGGUCAGCGAUGACAUCGACUAUUCUGAGGCAGAUGCCCCUGCAGUGACCAGAUAUUGGGGGAGGGGGCUUCAAGCUCUCUGAUGUCUGAGACGAGGGACUUGCAGCCAGAAAGCUUGCCGGUGUAUAAUGUACCCUGGAUUCUGGGCUAAAUCUCCCCAGUGCCAGACUCUGGGCUGAUGCAUUGUAACAACCCUUCAGCUACGUGAGCAGCACUGGGGAGACUAGCUGCAUCCAGAGGGUCAGCGCUCAGCUCUCUGGUCGUCAGUGUCUGGUCGCCUUCAGAUGGGAUGUAAUGUCUGCACGUAUCCCCCCCCUCUAAUCCUUGUCUUCUCUGCAGGUUGAAGUUGGUGACUGAGGACGUGGCGCCGUGGGACAGCCUGUGGUUUUGUAUGUGUAUGGUUUCAAUAAAGCUUUAUUCUUCCCUUUG